CCCCUAAUUUGCUUAAGCGGGGAGUUUGUUUUCUCUGGAAGCAGUUACACAAAUUAUUUCCUUGAGGGAUGACUAUUGGGGAAUCCUGUCCACAAAUCCUAUCCCUGAGGACGUCGAUUUGCAUGCAAGUGGUCACAGGGACUGGAGUCUAUCCCAGGGAGCAUCGGGCACAAGGCAGGGUACACUGUGGACAGGGUGCCAAUCCAUUGCAGGGCACAACAUAACAUUUUCAUUUAUUUAAAAAAAUGAAUUCAGUAAACUGUUGAUUUCCUGGGGUUUUCACCCAGGGAAAAUGCCAGGCAAAUUUUUCCCAAUUUUCAUCUG
ensembl:lncRNA